CUGCUGCCUCCCGUAGGAGUCUGGUCCGUGUCUCAGUACCAGUGUGGGGGACCUUCCUCUCAGAACCCCUACGCAUCGUCGCCACGGUGGGCCGUUACCCCGCCGUCUAGCUAAUGCGCCGCAUGCCCAUCCUCUUCCGAUGAAUCUUUCCUCGAUCUCGGAUGCCCGAAACCGAUAUACGCGGGAUUAGCCUCCCUUCGGAAGGUUGUCCCCCUGAAGAGGGCAGGUUGCAUACGUGUUACUCACCCGUGCGCCGGUCGCCGG
rnacentral:rRNA from 1 species